GGAAGGCUAAGGAUGCGCCGGUUCUGGAGAGUGGAGAAAAACGCCUUCUCCUUUACCCCUCCAGGCACCUUAUUUUUUUAAAAAAAAAAAACAACAACCUUUUAUUUAAAAGUCUAACCUUGGGAGUUUGCUGGGCCUCUAAUUAAACAAGCUGAACACUGUUCCGCCACACACAGCGUGAACACUGCAAGGUAAAUAAAACUGUGCUAGAGGAGAAGAAAACCUUGCAGAAUUCAUUUCUGUUGUGAUCUCUGGAGAGAGGAGGCCGAGUGGACUAUGAACUGGGAGAACUUGGUGGAUAUUCUCCAGGAUCCUGAUGCUUCUGCUCACUGGUGACACCUGCCCCUUCUGCUCAUAUUUCCUGAGUCAACAUGACCACGCCUAACUUUGAAGUGACUGUAGGCAUUCUAUGUUGCAGUGAGACUAAAAGAAAGAAGAGAAAUAAUAACUGCCGUGGAAGGACGGUCCCCUUGCCAACUGGCACUUAUCAAAGGACGUUGAGGGAGAGGGACAGAGUGCCUAGAUAUGAGCCUUCAUCAAGCCUUAUGAAGACCCUUCUCCAACAGGAAGCGCUCAGAUGAAGAAAUGAUGCAUCCGAUAGGAUUUUUCCUCCAAGUAUUCACUAAAAAAUGCUCCCAAACCUUGGCGACUCAGUAAUUUUAUGAGUAGAAGAAGUGACAUGGAGAAAGAAGGAAACAAAAAUUUAGGGCAAGAAGUCAAUUUAGAGAGAAGGUCCUGCCAUGGUUAUUCAGCCCAGUGGCAGACACAGAUAAUGCCAGACAUUUGCUCUGUCUGCAACCCAAGGAGAGCUGGACAUGACAGGAACUUGUGGACGGGUGGCAUCUUUAUCAAGAUGUCAGUGCUCUAAGCCAAAGGAGGAAAGAGAAAGAACACUGGAAUGUGGGGAACUGAUCACUGUAGCUACGAACGGAAAGAGACAACAUAGGCUUGGGAGGUUGAAUAUACACGGCCCAGGGGAAUCUUUCCGAGAGAAAUGAUCCAGCUGUGCCGCUCAAUAAACACCUGUUAAAUAUGGCUGUGCCAGAGAACCUAAAAGUUACAUGAGUCUCUGAAACAAAGGAACCAACAAAAUUGCCUGAUGGAAAAAUUGCACGCGUGUCACCUCUGAGGGCUGUAGUAGAAAGUUCUACCCUGCUCCUCCAUUGGCUCUUCUCCCCACCUAGGAUCUCCUGAACCUGAUCAAUUUGGGCCUGUGGAGAGGCAGCAGAGCAUGGUGGGAGUGUGGAGCAGAGCAGCGCCCUUGCCUCAUAGCCAGGAUGCCAAGGGGAAGAAAGGAAGGGUGCUGGAGUCUCACAACUCCCAACCUCUUUCAAGGUCACCUCCUUAAAAACCUACCGAUCUUCUACUAGGCCGGUCUCCUAAGUCUCCAAUGGUACCACCCUAAGAGCCAAGCCUAUAAUACAUAAGCCUUUGGAGACAGUCCACUAAGCUUCAGCCUCAGCAGAAGUCCACUAAGCUUCAGCCUCAGCAGUAACUGGCUGCUGGAUCAUUUGUCACUGGCCCCUAGAAUGAGACGAACUGAUGCCAUAGGGCAUAGACUUUGAAGAUAUGAUGGAAGGAGCCUGAGACUGUGCUGGAUUUCCUGGAUGUAGCAUGGAGUCAAAACACAUUUUCUGCUGAUAUAGGAAAGCAUCCAGCUUCUUGAACUUUUUCUACUUGGGACUACGUUUUUACCAAAUAAAUUUUUAUAUGUCUCCGGGUUUACCUGUCUAUGAAGAUGAAGCCUGAGGUGGGUCCUGCCCCUGCCUCCCUGUGCUGGCUAGUUUUAUGUCAACUAGACACAAGCUGGAGUCAUUUUGGAAGAAGAAAUUUUAGUUGAGGAAAAUGCCCUCACCGAGGGGACAAGCCUGUGUUGCAUUUUUUGGAUAGAUGAUCACCAUGGGAGAGUCCAUCCCAUUGUGGGUUGUGCCUGCCAUCCCUGGAUGGGUGGUCCUAGGUACUAUAAGAAAGCAGGCAGAGCAAGGCAUGGUGGGCCAGCCUUACUUGCCUCUGUAUCAACUCCUGCCUCCUAGUUCCUGCCUUACUUUCUGCCCUGAUCUCCCCGAAUGAUGGACUGCACGCUGUAAGAUGAAAUAAAGUC